UAUUUAAAAAUAAAACUAUAUUUUAAAAACUUUGACCUAUCACCUAAAUUUUUAUUUCCUUGGAAACAUAAUCCACAACCCUAUAAAUAACCAUUUUUCUCAAUAAAAAUGUAAAUAUUUCGAAAAUUAUUAACUUUAGGCCUAUAAGACCUUAUAGAAAUUUUUCAUAUUUUUAAAUAAUAUAUUCAACAAUGAUUUAAUAUACAGGGUGUUCCAUUUAAAAAAAAUACAACUUUGGUUCAUACCGUCGUUCUGACUCACCCUGUAUAAUUGAAAAUAAUUUUAAAUUAUAGAUCUCUUUGAUGCACAUUAGUUUUGUUAUAAACAUUUUUUGGUAUAUCUCAUAGUUUAGCCGUAAUCAAAGAAGACCAGAGGUUUGGCGCACCCUGUAUAGCUAAAUAAAAAUAAAACCUACAUUUUACUAACACACAACAUCACCAAAUAAGUACAUACAUACCAAGAAGAAAUGAGCGUUCACGUACACUCCUUCAGAGUCGAGUCACACAACACAGGAUAGGGAGAAGGUAGUUUUCUGUGGUUUCCUACCUUCAUUGCACAAUGAUACCUAUACCUAGGAGAGGAUCUAGCCACAGCUAACCUCCACGCGUUUAACCAAAAAAACAAAAAGCCAAAAACUCUGAAAAGAGCCGUUUGUUCACACCGGGCUUGGGUUUUCGUUUCAGGCUUGGUAUCUUCCAGAAAGCAAAAAAGCAACAGCGACCAAAUCAACCAACAACAGGGAAAAAGAAGGAGCUUGUCCUCCUAGAAUAUUUUCUACGACGUACCCAAUUCCAAAAAUUCUUCUAGCCCCGUUCCGUGAAGAGGCGAAAAAGCCUAAACGCGAUUAUCAUGACGUGCCCUACCUACCCUAACAAUGGACAGCCUAAGUCUAACGUCACAAAUGUCACAAAAUUGGGAGGAGCUUAUAUUGGCUGCAAACAAUUUUAUUUGUAACGUAAAUGGCCAUAAGGAAUAUUUCAUUUAUUGUUUGUGUGCUUUAUUUCGCAAAAUAAGACUUUUCACUUAGGUCUUUCGUUAAAGAAACGUGUUAACUAAGAUAUUUUUAUUCAUUUCUGCUCAGCCUUCCAAGAUUGCUUCAGAAUGGGAAUGUGCUUUGUUCCCGACUGCAAGCAUUACAGUUCAAAAAAUGCUUGUAAAUUUUUUCGAUUCCCAAAGAAAAAGACUGAAAGAACUAGAUGGAUUUAUCUUAUAAGGCGAAAAGACAGAGACCCAGGUGAAUCUUCAAAAGUGUGUGAUUGCCACUUUGUAGAUAAAGAAAAAAAAGAAUGGUCCAAUCUUGUUUAAUUUCAAUAUUCACAAGAAGUUUAACAUACAAUAUCCAGAGAAAAGGUAUGUUUCUUGUUGCUAUAAUCUCCAUUAGUUGUGUGUGCUAGAUCAUGGCAUCAGACAAAAUCUAUUUGCCAUAAAUCGUAAAUUCUUAUAAUAAUAGUCUCCCGUUUUAUACCGCUGCGGCUUUGGGAGUAUAGCAGGGUAGUCUGCUAUAUCUAGGGCCUACGGUAUACAAGGAAGGUAACAGGGCUAGUGUUACGCUUCAACCACCUAUUAUUACCCCUGGUUUUACCCAAGGUACUCAUUUUAUUCAGGCUGAGUCGACCUGGGGCCUAUAAACAUUUUAAAAAUGUCUAGUUGUUCUUGCCGGCAGUAGGAUCUGAACUCCGGACCACUGGCAUGCGAGCCAAGCACACUACCACUUCGCUACGCCGGCUCUAAACGUAAAUUCUUAAUUAUUUUAAAUGUUUUCAUGAUGUCUAUUUCUUUAAAAUAUACCAACAUUUUUACAUUUCUGAUAAUUUUUUAUAUGUUCAAAAUAAGUGGGUGAUUGCAGUAGAUAAGUAAUGCCGAAAUGGCGACACAUAGGGAAAUCAAUGUGUUAGAGAGAGAGCGUUUUAUCAAUGUGUGGGAGAGAGACAGAUGAUGUGACACGCCCCGACGCUCCGUGGAAGGAAUCUACUAACUUAUAGUUCAACUUUUAUCCGCUAGACGUCACUAGUAGUCACUAAUCAGCCGCCAUUGUUCCAUAAUAUUUUUGCCGCAUGUCCGACGUGUCGUCGAAGGAAUCUACUGACUUAUAGUUCAACUUUUAUCCGCUAGACGUCACUAGUAGUCCUAGUCACCCGCCAUUGUUCCAUAAUAUUUUUAUAAAUUAUGUAGCUACCAAAAAUCUUCUUUUCCGCAACUGUCAAAUCUUGUCGCAGUUGCCACUGUCAAAUCUUCUUUUUCACAGUGUGUCAAAUCUUCUUCUUUUUGCAAAUAUACCUUUCGUUUAUAAUGUUAUUUACCAUUGUGUUUCAGAUAUCGUUCGCCAUUUUUUAUCCAAAGUAAUUUACACACACAUGAAGAGUAUAGUUAGAAGUAGUAGAAGUUAUUAAAGGUGUAUUAUGGGCGAUAUAUUAAAAAAUUAAAAAUAUUUCUGCUGAGAAUAUGAUCCUCUACAAGUACCUACUAGAUAUAAAAAUUAUUUGCAAUUUACAGAGAAACGAUGCAUUUAUUUAUUACUAAAAAUUUUAUUCAAAUAUACCUCAACGCAUGCAAAAUAGGAUUGUCCGAGGGAGUCCCCAUUAGUAUCUAUAAGACAAACGAUGAAUUUAUUUAUUACUAAAAAUUAUAUUCAAAAUACCUCAACGCAUGCAGAAUGGGUAUUUUCCAAGGUUGAAUAUAUAAUUUAUAUACAAAUGAAAAUUACUGUUAUUAACACAUUAUUUUCGCGACUUCUAUUUUUAUCUAUAAUUAUUAACAUCGACUGCAUUUCACAUGCAAUUGGAAUUUCCGUUACCACAUUGUUACUGUACUAAGUAUGUAGCAUGACAUAAUUAUUCAAGAACCAACAUGACUUUCAAGAAUAAACUGGAGAAUGUGUAAUUAUAGAUACAUGUGACGUCAAUGAAGCUACAAUAUAAAAUAGGAUGCACAUGGGUAUUGCACUCAUUGUGCUUAGCAGUAACGUUUGUGUAGUGACUCUAAUACACCGAGGUAAGUUUUUCUCUUUAUGAUUUUGUUUUUUAACUUGUGCAUAAAUUGUUUUUUUUUUGUUUUUUGCAUUCUUUGUAUGAGUACACAUAAUUUUCUCGAUUUUCGUCUUCUUUGUUUUAUUCGUACAGUAUUCAUAUUAUUUCUCUAUUUUCAUGCAGUAUACACACUAUUUUAGUGUACCUACUUAGAUAGAUAGAAAUUUCCGUUUGACUCGCUAUAUCUAUUCUCUAUUGUAAUAUAUUUUUUUAACUUGCUCAUAAAUUGUUUUUGUUUUUGCAUUCUUUGUAUAAGUACACAUAAUUUUCUCGAUUUUCGUCUUAUUUAUUUUAUUCGUACAGUAUACAUAUUAUUUCUCUAUUUUCAUGAAGUAUACACACUUUUUUUAUUUUUUUUUUUUUUUGCAUUCUUUGUAUGAGUACACAUAAUUUUCUCGAUUUUCGUCUUCUUUGUUUUAUUCGUACAGUAUUCAUAUCAUUUCUCUAUUUUCAUGCAGUAUACACACUAUUUCGAUAAAAAUGCUAUUUUAGUGUACCUACUUAGAUAGAAAUUUCAGUUUGACUCGCUAUAUCUAUUCUCUAUUGUAUAAGUACACUCAAUUUUCUCGAUUUUCUUCUUAUUUCUUUAUUCGUACAGUAUACAUAUUAUUUCUCUAUUUUCAUGAAGUAUACACACUAUUUCGAUAAAAAUGAUAUAUUCUCUAUUGUAAUAUUUUUUUUUUGAUUUUUCGUUUUUGCUAUUACCUUAUACCAAUAGUGUUGGUUGGAAUUUAAUAUACAGUUGUGUAUGCAAAUCAAUAAAAAUUGAAGUACCAGUCAUAUAUUAUUUAUUUUCUAUUUUCGUAGAAUUCGUUUUUAUUCGUAAAAAUAUAUACACAUAUUGUGAUUUUUCCACUUACUGUUAUUCCUAAUAGUUUUAAUUUAAUUUUCUAAAUAUAUACAGUUCGCUAAAUGGAGGUCAAUAUAAAAUGUUCUUAAAUUAAAAAUGUUUUGUUGCUAUUGGAUUUACGCUUCAAAUACGUUUUUAUUUAUUAUAGAUGGACCUAUCAAAAUUAAAUAAGGCUACUGUUAUUGCAGAGAGAGGCCAAAUCAGAAAGCUUAGCAGCCUACCCAUUGGUGUGCCACACAAAAUACUGGCGGCCAAAGAAGUGAACUCCCAAUUCGGCAAUUCAAUCCUGCUAGAAUUGGAAAAGGAGGAGGUAACAUUCCUGCCGCCACGGGUCACGGAAGUAUACAGACCAUACCUCAAAUAUUUUGAAGAGGGGAAAUACAGCCUGGUCUUUAAAGGACACGUCACUACAAAGAAAGCACAACCAGCCGCCUCGUUCGAAAUAAUAGAACAUUAGAAAAUUAAAAGGGUGAGCGAUUUUUAGUAUUUUUUAUAUUUGUUUGUCGUAAAAAAUUUUUUUAAUAAAAUGUCUUCGAAUAAUAUUGAUAAUAUCAUUAAACAAACGGACGGUGUUGUACUAGCAAUUAGAAAGUUACGAAAAAUUUUAUUUGAUAAUUUUACAAUCAGUGAUGCGGAAGUGUGGUUAAAUAGAUUACAAAAACAAAUUAGAUUAUGUAAAAGGAUAAUUCGUAGUAGAAAACAGAAUAAAUUAUCUGUAGGGACUUGUAGAAAAAUAGAAACAAAUAUGGGCCAUUUUAAACAUUUCAGAAAGCUAAUUUUAAAUAGACAUAUCGGGGCAGGUCUUCACCUAAAGUUGGGGCAGAGGGUUAAAUGGGAAAAUGUACAAUCAAGUUUUCAAAGUAGAAUCAAAACCGGAAUUAUAGCUAAUUUACGACAUAAGGAUUUGAAUCAAUUUUUAGGAGAUUGCGUAGUUGUUUUUAAAAAUAAAAUCGGUAAAAUUUUAAAAACUCACUCUGCACUUAAAGUAAAUACAGCAUUU